rnacentral:rRNA from 1 species
CCUACGGGAGGCAGCAGUGGGGAAUAUUGGGCAAUGGGCGCAAGCCUGACCCAGCAACGCCGCGUGAAGGAAGAAGGCUUUCGGGUUGUUAACUUCUUUUGUUAGGGACGAAGCAAGUGACGGUACCUGCCGAAUAAGCCACGGCUAACUACGUGCCAGCAGCAGCGGUAAUACGUAGGUCGCAAGCGAUAUCCGGAUUUACUGGGUGUAAAAGGCGUGUUGGCGGGACUGCAAGUCAGAUGUGAAAACGACGGGCUCAACCUGUGGCCUGCAGUUGAAACUGUCGUUCUUGAGUAAUGGAGAGGCAGGCGGAAUGCCUGGUGUAGCGGUGAAAUGCGUAGAUAUUAGGAGGAACACCGGUGGCGAAGGCGGUCUGCUGGACAGCAACUGACGCUGAGGCGCGAAAGCGUGGGGAGCAAACAGGAUUAGAUACCCGAGUAGUC